GGAAGUGACGGUCGCCAUGGAUGGGGGUAGGCGAGUUUGGGGAAGGCUGCCACCCCCCUCGGUCCUCUGAAGGAGUCCUGGUCCUCCCUCUCCUGGGGCCCACACUCUCCCUGGCGGCACCCCUAGAGGCCUCUCCUCCGCCUUGAGGGCUCUGCUUGACUUCUCAUCCCCGGGAGGAGAGCAAGGCCAUGGGGCUGCCCCUGCUGCUGCCCCUGCUGCUGCCGCUGCUGCUGCUGCUGCCACCGGCAUCUCUGCAGGGUGAUCACUGGGCACAACUCAAAGCACGCUUUGACUAUGGGAUGAACCAGCCAACACAACUCUCAGCCCCUGAGGGUGGCUCCAUCCGCAUCCCCUUCUUCUUCUACUACUCCCAGGACUCAGGCAGCGUUUCCAAUGUGAUAAUAUCCUGGAGAUGGAAACACUUCCAUGGGGAUUUCAUCUACAAAACGACCCCCCGACUCAUCCAUAAUAACUUCAAGAACCGGCUCCUCCUGAACUGGGAAGAGGGUAUGAAGAACGGCUCCCUCCAGAUCUCGAACCUGCGGAGGGAGGACGAGGGUUUGUACUUCUGCCAAGUGGAGAUGAUCACAGAGAAAUACGGUGAACAGGAGUGGCAGUCCAUCCAGGGGACCGAGCUCACGAUCACACACAACCAGACAACCAUCCUGGGCUCCACCACCACUGCUGCCGCCACAGCUGGCCUCGGGACCUCAGAGGACCAAAGGCAUUCCCCGAGUACGGAAGCUGCAGUGGGGAUAGCAGCCAAUGAGCUUAUAAUAGCAAUUGCGGGACUGAUUUUGUGCCUCUGAUGGAAGAAGAGGAAAGAGGAUCCUUCCAGAAUCUGGAGGAGAAAUACGAGAACAUUGGGAACAAAGCCCACCUGACCUGGAGCUUCUUGACUGGUUUUAGAGCAACAGACAGACCCCAAGGAGUGUCAUAAGAGAAGCAGCUCAGACCUGGCCUGAAAUAUUACAGGGAAGUUUGGAGAAGAAUGAUGGCAUCCUCUAUGCCUCCCUCACCCUCCACAACCUGCCCUCACCGGCCGCACCUCCGUGCCCUCCCGCCCACGGGGGCCCCCAGGAAGAGACCCUGUUCUCUGCCCUGAAGACCUAAGGACUGGGACGAGUGAUGACCUCCUUAGGGUCAGCCGUGCACGGGGAUCUCACUUCCCCAUAAUCACAGCCACACACAGACCGCUCCGAAGCCAGCAGGUGCCGAAGGCCACCGAGGACCUGAGCACCUACCUGCUCCAAUUCCUCUUCGACUGCCCAGCCCUUGACCACAUGAAUAAAAGUACCUGUGCGAUUUGCCCGACUGCAUCUAAGGAGAAAGUGGUGUCACCCAUAACUUCUGUCCCUCUGUCCAAAAAGGAACCAUAAUAUACAGCUCACACCCAGA